UUUGCAAAGAAGUUAGCUGACAUGUUGCAAAAUGCUAACGCACAUGCCCUUACAUUUCGUGACUUGCCAAUGGGCGAACAAGAAUUAAGAGACCGUGUUUGCAAUUAUAUCAUGACAAUUAACGAAGAUAUGGCUUUAGAGCAAAAAUGGGUUGUAAGUGCAAAGCCCUAUCCGAUUGUGUUGAGUCUCAAGAAAACCCAAAGGAUGUUAAACAAGAACGAGGGAAUUCAUGAUGAUUGUUUUAACCUGGUAGCACGGAAGUUUGCUUUUGAAGAACUUGAAAAGUUGAAGGGAACAAACAAGAUUGUGUCAAAGCAUUACAUGGAUUUAAAGUUUUCGAUUCUAAUACCACUUCAAAUGGUUACAGCAUGAGGUAUUUAUAAUCUUUUUUGUUCAAGACAUGUCUAGAAGAGCUCUCUACAUAGUAGACCAAACUCCUAAACCUGAUCUUUACAAGAUUCAACCACUAAAAAAUAUACAAACAAAAUUCAAAGGGUUUCCACUGCCCUAAAUGAAGUCAUGAAAGUUUCAUGCCCUUGGUGGCGAGAUGAUUUAAUCCUCUUUGACCAUAGAGUUGCAGAAGUCAACCAAUUUGAGUUAAAUGGGUAAAUACUUUUACAAUAGAAACUAUUUGUUUUUAUAUUCUACUAUAUAUAUAAUAGUAAUAAUUUAAUGCUUCCUCAGGGACUUGUCUGGUUAUAAUGUUCUACUUGCUAUGCAUGCGUGGAAUGGUAAAAGGAUAGAAACAUCCAUUUGCAAUAAUGAUAAUUAUGAAGUGAGGAAGCAUAUAUUGCUACACCUACUCACAUAUACCGGGAACAAAAAUAUUGCCAACAUACCUAAAGGUGUUCGAGAUCACCUUGAACGCUAUAUUUGUCUCACAAG